GAGGAGGAGGAGGUGUUCUCAGCUUCUUCUGAAGAGAGGGACAGAGGGUUUAAGAUGUUAAAAGCCAGAGACAUGGGAGAUCAUCAUUCUUUUGAGAUUUUAUAACUCAAACCAACUUUGGAGUUGUCUGAUUUGGAGAGUCAUCAUUCUUGGUCUUUCUUCUUAAAGGCCACUGAUGAAGAACAGGCUGUGACUGGGAUGAAUGCUGGUCAAAGAAGAGAU